GCUUUCCUACGGGGCGCAGCAGUGGGGAAUAUUGCGCAAUGGGCGAAAGCCUGACGCAGCGACGCCGCGUGAGGGAUGAAGGUCUUCGGAUCGUAAACCUCUGUCAGCAGGGAAGGACGGUCACUGUGCUAAUCAGCAGUGAAUUGACGGUACCUGCAAAGGAAGCACCGGCUAACUCCGUGCCGGCAGCCGCGGUAAUACGGAGGGUGCGAGCGUUAAUCGGAAUUACUGGGCGUAAAGCGCUCGUAGGCGGUAUGUCAAGUCAAGGGUGAAAUACCCGC
rnacentral:rRNA from 1 species